rnacentral:rRNA from 1 species
AUGUUCCAGAUGUAUGCUAGUUUGCUACAUGAACCAGAUCUUGCUCAUCACUUUGGUCCUACAGUUAUCUCCUUUAUUUCCACCCUGAAUACAAGCAGAAGCUCACCCUGUUCAGUUUGCAUCUCCUUUUCUCUCUCUGGGGCUUUAUUUGCCAAUCACACACAUUCUGUUGAGAUACCAAGCAUAGACUUUGGACUUACCAUAUGA